AUGGCUUCCGGGAUCGCCAGCAUGUCGUCCUCUCUUGCGGUGCUCCUCCUCGGCGCGCUGCUGCUCUCCCGCAGCAGCGUCGGCAACGCGGCGCGGCACCUGGAGGAGGCGGAGUACCCACCGGUACCCAAGCCGGACGUGCCGCCACCGUUGCCUGUACCGGAGGUGCUGCCGAAGCCGGGGCUGCCACCGCUGCCCGCACCUGAGGAGCAGCCCAAUCCGGAGCUGCCGCCGUUGCCCACACCGGACGUGUUGCCAGAGCCGCCGUUGCCCGCACCCGACGUGCUGCCGAAGCCGGGGCUGCCCACACCUAACGUGCAGCCCAAACCGGAGUUGCCGCCGUUGCCCAAACCGGAGGUGCCCAAACCUGACGUGGAACCGAAGCCAGAGCUGCCACCCGUGCCCAAGGGUGAGGAGCCACCGAAGACGGAGCUGCCGCCGCCGCCAACAGGUGGGAUCCCACCAAAGCCGGUUUCGCCGCCUCUUCCUACAGGUGAGCUUCCGCCCAAGCCGGAGCCCGAGCUGCUGCCCAAGACAGACGAGCCAUCGAAGCCAGAGCAGCCUCCACUUCCGACCGGUGAGAUUCCACCGAAGCCAGAGGUCGAGCUGCCACCCAAGACAGAGGAGCCACCGAAGCCGGAGCUGCCGCCGCCUCCGACCGGUGACCUUCCACCGAAGCCGGACGUCGGGCUGCCACUGAAGCCAGACCUGCCGCCGCUCCCUACCAGUGAGCUUCCACCGACGGCGCAGCCGCCACUGCCGAAUCCCGCGGAACCAAAACCAUGA
rnacentral:rRNA from 1 species